rnacentral:rRNA from 1 species
AUUGAACGCUGGCGGCAGGCCUAACACAUGCAAGUCGAGCGGUAGAGAGAAGCUUGCUUCUCUUGAGAGCGGCGGACGGGUGAGUAAUGCCUAGGAAUCUGCCUGGUAGUGGGGGAUAACGUUCGGAAACGGACGCUAAUACCGCAUACGUCCUACGGGAGAAAGCAGGGGACCUUCGGGCCUUGCGCUAUCAGAUGAGCCUAGGUCGGAUUAGCUAGUUGGUGGGGUAAUGGCUCACCAAGGCGACGAUCCGUAACUGGUCUGAGAGGAUGAUCAGUCACACUGGAACUGAGACACGGUCCAGACUCCUACGGGAGGCAGCAGUGGGGAAUAUUGGACAAUGGGCGAAAGCCUGAUCCAGCCAUGCCGCGUGUGUGAAGAAGGUCUUCGGAUUGUAAAACACUUUAAGUUGGGAGGAAGGGCAGUAAAUUAAUACUUUGCUGUUUUGACGUUACCGACAGAAUAAGCACCGGCUAACUCUGUG